rnacentral:rRNA from 1 species
GAUGAACGCUGGCGGCGUGCUUAACACAUGCAAGUCGAGCGGAAAGGCGCUGCUUUUGUGCGGUGCUCGAUGGCGGAAGGGGUGAGUGACACGUGAGUAUCCCGCCCCUGACUUUGGGAUAACUUUAGGAAACUGGGGCUAAUAUCGGUUAGGAACUCCUGAUGCAUGGUGGGGGUUGGAAAGAUUCGGCGGUUGGGGAUGGGCUAGCGGCUUAUGAGCCUGAGGGUGGAGUAGUGGUUGACGAGGGCUUUGGCGGGUAGGCGGCCUGAGAGGGUGACCGGGCCCCUGGGGAAUGAGAUACGGCCCAGAGUAGUACGGGAGGCAGCAGGGGGGACUAUUGCACAAUGGGGCCAAGUCGGAUGAAGCAUGGCUGCGUUCGGGAUGAUGGCCUUCUGGUUGUAAACAACUUUGUGAGGUAACGAAGCGUGAGUGACGGUACCGGAUAAAGAAGCACCGGCUAACUACGUG